ensembl:lncRNA
CACCCAUCCCCAGUCAUGCAAUCUACGAGAUGCACCAACAGGUUCAUCCAGCUCACCAGGUUCACCAACACCACCAGGUGCAACAGGAUCACCAGAUGCUUCCAAGCCAUCAAAAUAAACCAAUUCACCAAUCUCAGUCUAUUAAAAUGCACCAAAGUCACCACUCAAACCAGACUAUUCAGACUCAACUAUCUAGCUCCAUGGAUAGGCUUGAUAGGAUUGAAAGAAAGGAAUGCUCGGAUAGGCAUAUCUAUGGCAUGCAGCCCCAGCCCUUGCAUCCAGAUCAACAAGUACACCAUGCUUAUCAGAUGCAUCAGAGUCAUCAGGCUCACCUCUCAAGCUCCAUGGAUAGACUUGAUCGAUUGGAGCAGAUCCAGCGUUUGGAACGCAUGGAGCAUAUGGAGCGAAUCGAAAGACUGGAGAGGGUGGACAGACAAAUGCACCGGGCACACAUGGCUCAAGCAGUUUCUCAAGCUAUUCAACCAUCUCAGCAACAGUACCACCACCAGAUGCACCAAGCUCCUCUGCCAACCCGCCACAUUCACCAGAUUGAACACAUACACCAGGUUCAGCCAAUCCAGUCAGCUCCUCAGUACCACCAGAUCCACCAGCCUCACAAACCUCACCAGACCCAACAGAUUCUGUCAACCUUCCAGCCUCAUACUUCACAACAGCAGCUUCAGCAUAUCCAGCAGCAACAACAACUGCAGCAGCAGCAACAGCUUCAACAGCAGCAACAGCUUCAACAGCAGGUUCAGCAGCAGCAACAGCUUCAGCAACAGCAGAAUCAGCAGCAGAUUCAGCAGCAGCAACAGCAUCGCUCAACCCCACAGAUUCCCCCCAUUACACAGGCCAGACAGAGCCCUCAACCCAUGUACCAUGAACAUCGUCACCACCAUCACAGCCACCAUGAGGCCCAGUCCCAAACGCAACCACCAAGUACACCCCAACCUCAAACUCACCACCCCACUGAUGAGCCCAAUGUGGAGCCACCUCCUCCUCCACCUUUACCCCCACCUUGCAUGCCUCCUCCGCUCCCAAAGGCUUCACCACAACAAACAGACUCCAGUCAUAUGAGUGUAAAACGGCUACGAUGGGAACAAGUGGAAAAUUC